rnacentral:rRNA from 1 species
UACGGAGGGUGCGAGCGUUAAUCGGAAUUACUUGGCGUAAAGCGUGCGCAGGCGGUUUUGUAAGCCAGAUGUGAAAUCCCCGGGCUUAACCUGGGAACUGCAUUGGUGACUGGCAGGCUUUGAGUGUGGCAGAGGGAGGUAGAAUUCCACGUGUAGCAGUGAAAUGCGUAGAGAUGUGGAGGAAUACCGAUGGCGAAGGCAGCCUCCUGGGCCAACACUGACGCUCAUGCACGAAAGCGUGGGGAGCAAACAGG